AGCGCCGCUAAAGGUCAUGAUCUUUAGCGGCGUUCGUGGCAAAAGCGCCGCUAAAGGUUCGUGGUCUUUAGCGGCCGUA
rnacentral:pre_miRNA from 2 species